GUUUUCCCGGCUAGGCUCUGGAGCGGCGGGCGCGGCGCGAUGCGCGGGUACCCGGGAGCGAACGGCUGCAAGCCCCGAUGAAGCUCGAGCAGCCCCAGCCUGAUGGAGGCGCCUCCGUGGGAGCCGGUGCGCAAUGACUCCCUGCCUCCCACGCUGAGCCCCGCGGUGCCGCCCUACGUGAAGCUCGGCCUCACCGCGGUCUACAACCGUCUUCUACGCGCUCCUCUUCGUGUUCAUCUAUGCGCAGCUCUGGCUGGUGCUGCGCUACCGUCACAAGCGGCUCAGCUACCAGAGCGUCUUCCUCUUCCUUUGCCUCUUCUGGGCCUCGCUGCGUACCGUGCUCUUCUCCUUUUACUUCCGAGACUUCGUGGCAGCCAACUCGUUCAGCCCCUUCGUCUUCUGGCUGCUCUACUGCUUCCCCGUGUGUCUACAGUUCUUCACCCUCACGCUCAUGAACUUGUACUUCACGCAGGUGAUUUUCAAGGCCAAGUCAAAAUAUUCUCCAGAGCUACUCAAAUACCGGUUACCCCUCUACCUGGCCUCACUUUUCAUCAGCCUCGUUUUCCUGUUGGUGAAUCUGACCUGUGCUGUGCUGGUGAAGACGGGAGACUGGGACAGGAAGGUUAUCGUCUCUGUGAGAGUGGCCAUCAAUGACACACUCUUUGUGCUGUGUGCUAUCUCUCUCUCCAUCUGCCUCUACAAAAUCUCCAAGAUGUCCCUGGCGAACAUCUACUUGGAGUCAAAGGGCUCAUCAGUGUGUCAGGUAACUGCCAUUGGUGUCACCGUCAUCUUGCUCUACGCCUCUCGGGCCUGCUACAACCUGUUCAUCUUGUCAUUUUCUCAGAUCAAGAACGUCCAUUCCUUUGAUUAUGACUGGUACAAUGUAUCCGACCAGAUCUGAAGAGCCAGCUGGGUGAUGCCGGCUACGUAGUGUUUGGCGUGGUGCUUUUCGUGUGGGAGCUCCUACCCACCACCUUGGUGGUUUAUUUCUUUCGAGUCAGAAAUCCCACGAAGGAUCUUACCAAUCCUGGGAUGGUCCCCAGCCAUGGAUUCAGUCCCAGAUCUUACUUCUUUGACAACCCCCGAAGAUAUGACAGUGAUGAUGACCUUGCCUGGAACAUUGCCCCUCAGGGACUUCAGGGAAGGACCUCUCCGAGCCUACCCAGAGAGAGCCAGGGCAUGUGCUGCUCCACUCACUCACUGGAACGUGAUCUGGGACAUCCAGGCAGACCUCUUGGAUCCUCUUCUAAAGCCAGAGAAUAUAUGAACAAUUAUCACUAGAGUGAAUAUAUUAUAAGAACCAAAAAUUGAAAUUUGUCAUUCUUAACCAAUUAUUUCCUAAGA
rnacentral:lncRNA from 1 species